UAAUACGGAGGGUGCAAGCGUUAUCCGGAUUUAUUGGGUUUAAAGGGUCCGUAGGCGGAUCGUUAAGUCAGUGGUGAAAGCCUACCGCUCAACGGUAGAACUGCCAUUGAUACUGGCGAUCUUGAAUAUGUAUGAAGUUGGCGGAAUGUGUGGUGUAGCGGUGAAAUGCUUAGAUAUCACACAGAACACCGAUUGCGAAGGCAGCUGACUAAUACAUGAUUGACGCUGAGGGACGAAAGUGUGGGGAUCAAACAGG
rnacentral:rRNA from 1 species